UUCAAGACCCUCCUCAAGAGAUACAACAGGCAACCUACAGUCCAUCCCUGAAGAAGACGAAAACACCACCAGUAUCCAAGACAGACAAACCAGAGUACAUGGGCAAAGCCCAAGUCCUCCUAGUACAUCCGAUCGAGAACCGAGAGGAGAAAAUGACCAAGCCCAAGGCCUAAAGCUGAGGAGCAUCGCUGAAAGCACGGAGACUUCUGAGUAGAUCAAAGGCAGUUAGUUAGCUUGGGGAGGGAGCACUGGCUCCUGUCCUGCUUCCUUGACUCCAGCCCCUGGCCGCCAAGAAUACUCUACUAAAUAAAAUACUGCCCUCCCUCCCUGGGUGAGGGCGGAUUUACCCUCCCUC
rnacentral:lncRNA from 1 species